rnacentral:rRNA from 1 species
UACGUAGGGUGCAAGCGUUGUCCGGAAUUAUCGGGCGUAAAGAGCUCGUAGGCGGUCUGUUGCGUCGGCUGUGAAAACCCGGGGCUCAACCCCGGGCCUGCAGCCGAUACGGGCAGACUAGAGUUCGGCAGGGGAGACUGGAAUUCCUGGUGUAGCGGUGAAAUGCGCAGAUAUCAGGAGGAACACCAAUAGCGAAGGCAGCUCGCUGGGACGGUACUGACGCUAAGGCGCGAAAGCGUGGGGAGCGAACAGG